CCGCCUGCGCCUGCUGCGGCGAGAUGAAGUGGACGUGCGCGUCGAUGCCGCCCGCGGUCAGGAUCAGAUGCUCGCCCGAGAUCGCGUCCGUCCCCGGCCCCAGUGCCAGCGAGGGCGUCACAUUCGGCAUGAUCGACGGAUUGCCGGCCUUGCCGAUGCCGCAGAUCAGGCCGUUCUUGAUCCCGACAUCGGCCUUGAUGAUCCCCUGGAUCGCAUCGACGAUGGUGACGUUCGUGAUGACAAGGUCGGGCGCACCGCCAGCGCUGGUCAGUUCAUUGUCGAACCCCAUGCCGUCG
rnacentral:sRNA from 1 species